AACGCACAUUGCGCCCCUUGGUAUUCCAUGGGGCAUGCCUGUUCGAGCGUCAUUUGUACCUUCAAGCUCUGCUUGGUGUUGGGUGUUUGUCUCGCCUCUGCGCGCAGACUCGCCUCAAAACAAUUGGCAGCCGGCGUAUUGAUUUCGGAGCGCAGUACAUCUCGCGCUUUGCACUCAUAACGACGACGUCCAAAAAGUACAUUUUUUACACUCUUGACCUCGGAUCAGGUAGGGAUACCCGCUGAACUUAA
rnacentral:misc_RNA from 1 species